rnacentral:rRNA from 1 species
AGUGAACGCUGGCGGUAGGCCUAACACAUGCAAGUCGAACGGCAGCACAGUAAGAGCUUGCUCUUACGGGUGGCGAGUGGCGGACGGGUGAGGAAUACAUCGGAAUCUACUUUUUCGUGGGGGAUAACGUAGGGAAACUUACGCUAAUACCGCAUACGACCUACGGGUGAAAGCAGGGGAUCUUCGGACCUUGCGCGAUUGAAUGAGCCGAUGUCGGAUUAGCUAGUUGGCGGGGUAAAGGCCCACCAAGGCGACGAUCCGUAGCUGGUCUGGGAGGAUGAUCAGCCACACUGGAACUGAGACACGGUCCAGACUCCUACGGGAGGCCGCAGGGGGGAAUAUUGGACAAUGGGCGCAAGCCUGAUCCAGCCAUACCGCGUGGGUGAAGAAGGCCUUCGGGUUGUAAAGCCCUUUUGUUGAGAAAGAAAAGCAGCAGGUUAAUACCUCGCUGUUCUGGCGGUACCGAAAGAAUUAGCACCGGCAAACUUCGG